ACAGCUUCCUGCUUAUGGCAACAAGGAAGCAGAACGCAGAGUGAUGAGAGAUUUAUGUGGAUAUGAUAGCACUGGACACUUCGAGGCUCCAUUGGCAAAACAUGCGGCAAAUAGGAAACCAAGGGUAGACCUUUGACAUUUAAGAAGUAUAUGCCCUAAGAUUUCUACAGAUCCUGAAAUUCAUCACUACGGCAGAAUCACGCAUCUUAUGAUUUAGAAGAUUUGAACAUAUUUGCCUGCUGACAUGAAAAGGCUAUGUCAGAAAAGUGGACAACUUUUGGAGCAGACAAGGAGUGGAGUAGGGGCUUUGAAAGGAGGGUUAACUGUCUGAGAUAGGUGAUGUAAUGAAGGAAGAAAGGAACUGAUGAGGGAAGGAUCACUGGUUGGCAUUCCCAAUCCAGGUAAGAUGGCUUUGUAAUGGUGACACCAACUUUUAGGUCAGGCUGGAACUCAGAUCUCAUUUGUUUACUUUGGGAUCUCAUAGAGAAAGUGCAAUAAAGCAACAUUAUUUGCAAGCUAUGA
rnacentral:lncRNA from 10 species